rnacentral:rRNA from 1 species
UACCAGCACCCCGAGUGGUCGGGACGUUUAUUGGGCCUAAAGCAUCCGUAGCCGGUUUUACAAGUCCUCCGUUAAAUCCAGCUGCUUAACAGAUGGGCUGCGGAAGAUACUAUGGAGCUAGGAGGCGGGAGAGGCAAGCGGUACUCGAUGGGUAGGGGUAAAAUCCGUUGAUCCAUUGAAGACCACCAGUGGCGAAGGCGGCUUGCCAGAACGCGCUCGACGGUGAGGGAUGAAAGCUGGGGGAGCAAACCGG